GGCGAAACGGGUGAGUAACACGUGGGCAAUCUGCCCUGCACCUGGGACAAGCCCUGGAAACGGGGUCUAAUACCGGAUAUGACCACCUAGGGGCAUCCCUUGGUGGUGUAAAGCUCCGGCGGUGCAGAUGAGCCCGCGGCCUAUCACCUUGUUGGUGAGGUAACGGCUCACCAAGGCAACAACGGGUAGCCGGCCUGAAAGGGCGACCGGCCACACUGGGACUGAAACACGGCCCAAACUUCCACGGGAGGCAGCAGUGGGGAAUAUUGCACAAUGGGCGAAAGCCUGAUGCACCGACCCCGCGUGAGGGAUGACGGCCUUCGGGUUGUAAACCUCUUUCACCAGGGAAAAAGCGAGAGUGACGGUACCUGCAAAAAAAGCGCCGGCUAACUACUUGCCACCAGCCGCGUAAUACGUAGGGCGCAAGCGUUGUCCGGAAUUAUUGGGCGUAAAGAGCUCGUAGGCGGCUUGGUCACGUCGGUUGUGAAAGCCCGGGGCUUAACCCCGGGUCUGCAGUCAAUACGGGCAGGCUAAGUUCGGUAGGGGAGAUCGGAAUUCCUGGUGUACCGGUGAAAUGCGCAAAUAUCAGGAGGAACACCGGUGGCGAAGGCGGAAUCUCUGGGCCGAUACUGACGCUGAGGAGCGAAGCGUGGGGAGCGAACAGGAUUAGAUACCCUGGUAGUCCACGCCGUAAACGGUGGGCACUAGGUGUGGGCAACAUUCCACGUUGUCCGUGCCGCAGCUAA
rnacentral:rRNA from 1 species